GCCGGGGGUGCCGUGGGCAGCGCGGUGGCCGGGCCCCCCUGCCCGGGCCAGGCAGGGGGACCCGUUGGGGACAGGCUGCAGGAGGUGUUGCGAGACCUGGACAUCGCCCACGCCGCCUUCGCCCACCGCGACGAGACCUCGGAGCCACCCGCAAGUCCCCUCCCUGCCCCGAGACCCCCGGCACCCCCCAGCUUUCCCCCCUCAGCCCGCCCUGGGAGGGGCAGGGACGCCGGUGGGGCCACAGAGGGGACGCGGGGACAGCAGCCCGGCACGGGGUGUAUUCUGUAACACAGAGAUGUACAUGGCA